rnacentral:rRNA from 1 species
AGUGAACGCUGGCGGUAGGCCUAACACAUGCAAGUCGAACGGCAGCACAGUAAGAGCUUGCUCUUACGGGUGGCGAGUGGCGGACGGGUGAGGAAUACAUCGGAAUCUACUUUUUCGUGGGGGACAACGUAGGGAAACUUACGCUAAUACCGCAUACGACCUACGGGUGAAAGCAGGGGAUCUUCGGACCUUGCGCGAUUGAAUGAGCCGAUGUCGGAUUAGCUAGUUGGCGGGGUAAAGGCCCACCAAGGCGACGAUCCGUAGCUGGUCUGAGAGGAUGAUCAGCCACACUGGAACUGAGACACGGUCCAGACUCCUACGGGAGGCAGCAGUGGGGAAUAUUGGACAAUGGGCGCAAGCCUGAUCCAGCUAUACCGCGUGGGUGAAGAAGGCCUUCGGGUUGUAAAGCCCUUUUGUUGGGAAAGAAAAGCAGCAGGUUAAUACCCCGCUGUUCUGACGGUACCCAAAGAAUAAGCACCGGCUAACUUCGUG